rnacentral:rRNA from 1 species
AGAGUUUGAUCCUGGCUCAGAUUGAACGCUGGCGGCAGGCCUAACACAUGCAAGUCGAGCGGAUGACGGGAGCUUGCUCCUUGAUUCAGCGGCGGACGGGUGAGUAAUGCCUAGGAAUCUGCCUGGUAGUGGGGGACAACGUUUCGAAAGGAACGCUAAUACCGCAUACGUCCUACGGGAGAAAGCAGGGGACCUUCGGGCCUUGCGCUAUCAGAUGAGCCUAGGUCGGAUUAGCUAGUUGGUGAGGUAAUGGCUCACCAAGGCGACGAUCCGUAACUGGUCUGAGAGGAUGAUCAGUCACACUGGAACUGAGACACGGUCCAGACUCCUACGGGAGGCAGCAGUGGGGAAUAUUGGACAAUGGGCGAAAGCCUGAUCCAGCCAUGCCGCGUGUGUGAAGAAGGUCUUCGGAUUGUAAAGCACUUUAAGUUGGGAGGAAGGGCAGUAAGUUAAUACCUUGCUGUUUUGACGUUACCGACAGAAUAAGCACCGGCUAACUCUGUGCCAGCAGCCGCGGU